AAGAAAACAGAUGCAUCUUUCAAAAAAAAUUCAUUUGUGAUCAAACCAUUUUUAAAGGGAGCAAAUUUUUACCUUAUCAAAAGCUUCCAUUGAAUUCCUUUUUCUACUACCUAGAGCAGCCUCUGCACAUUGCAAAAAGGAUUAAUCAUCAUAGAAUAAAUUCAUCAACAAUACUACACAUGGUUUCUUAGUAUUCAAUAAAGGCUUGCGACAUAAAAUUGAAAACAACAAAGUUGUUGAGAGAAAAAGGCUUAAUGUGCCUCUUCUUUUUAUAGCAGUGAAGAGAAGGAAAAUUAACAACUUUAGAGAUUGGCAUAUCAAUCCCCAAUUUUAGAAAAAACCAUAGAUCAUAACAAUACCAUCUUCAUAACCAAAUGACAAAGCCAAAUCCCAAAACAAAUAGUCGUGACGGAUUUAUCAUCAAACAAAAGAGUCAUAUACACAUACUCUAGAAACACACAUAUAUAAUCAUGAUUAAUUCAAAAUCAUGUGUAGCAUAUGUACUAUAUUCAUGGUGGUACAAUUGCUUUUACCAAAUCAGACUAAGGUCAUUUUUGUAGAUGGUUUCAAUUUUCAUCUAAAGAUAUAGAAAAAAGGAAGUUAUCUAGUAAAUUUAACUCCUCAUUCAAAGUCCAAUCGUAAGUUACAAGAAUCAUAAAUAAACUACCAAAUCAUAAUAUUAUUCCUUAAGUUUAAGACCACAAAAAUUCUAGGGACAUGAAGUGUCUUUGUAGUAGAUUAGAUAACACUUGUAACAUCUUUAACUAACAAUCAUCACAAAAUUUCAAACAAGAGAAGAACUAGAAAACAAAUAUGCCUUCAAAUAGUUUUCCAUCUGUCCUUGAGUUUCUUCCACCCAUGUCCUGCUUUUAGGUCAGGACAGGUCCUAUAUGGUUUAUCCAAGUUAUAUAUACUCAACUACCUAAGACAAGACCAGAUUGAAUGAACAGAUUCCACCUCAGUCAAUUGGAGAACACAAUAUUUAAAAAACAAAUAAGAAUUAAAUAUAGAUGAAAUUACAAAUGUGUUCAUGAACUCUUACCCUAAAUUGAAACUUGAAAGCUUGCUUUAAUAAUUACAAUCUUUCAUAAGCUUGCUUCCAUGACAAAAACAUAUUUCUAGAAACAAAAACAAAUCGCAACCAAAAUAGCAUGACAAACUAAUCUUUCUUCCAAAUUAGUGAAGAGAAAAAAAACAUAUUUAUAAUAACAAUUAUGUUAAAAUUAAUGAUGAGGAAAAAGUUUACAUGGAGGAGUGUGUAGUUGGUUCCUUCCUGUAACCAACAAACCAAAAACGAUGAUAAAAACAUGCAUCACAAACAAAGUUUGCUAACAAAUAUAAAGUCUUGUUACCAAAAGUUGAACCCCAAAUAUAGAUAUUAUCAACAAAAAUACAAAAAAUUAUGCCAAACAAAAUAAAAUGAUUUACUCCUUGAGAGGCAUUUUAUCAAAUAGAUACAAGACAGUAAGGUGGGUAGAAAAAUCAGAACAAAAUUAAUUUGUAACUCAAAGAUUAUUGUGUUGUCAUCAGUUCAUGUUCAUCUCUUGUUUGACCCAUAAAACGCGAUAUAGAAACAAGCUAAAGAGAAACAACAUGCAAUCAAUCAAUACAUUGGAACGACGGAGAGAUGAAGUUACUACAUACCUUGGAAAUGCAAAGAACGACAGAGAACGGCGGAGGGGUUGUGGUUCUUCGACGGAGUAGGGUUUGAAGGAGAACAACCGAGAGAUUAACGGAUUGUGCUUCCAGAUUAAACAGCGACGGUGGAGAAUAAACGGUGGCGGAGGAGAUUGAACAGCGGAGGAGGAUUGACGGCGGCGUAUUGUGCGAUUAGGUGUCGGAAUCGUCUCACUCAUUUUGCUUUUCGUUUUAGCGAAAUGUUAUGUUUUUGGGAAAAUAUGUGUGUUAAGAAACAAAUUGGUGAAAAAAAAUUAAGAUAUAAAAUUUAAAAUGUU
rnacentral:lncRNA from 1 species